rnacentral:rRNA from 1 species
GACAGAGGUGCCGAGCGUUAGGCGGAAUCACUGGGCUUAAAGCGUGUGUAGGCGGCCCGUUAAGUGCCUCGUGAAAUCCCCCGGCUCAACCGGGGAACCGCGGGGCAUACUGGCGGCCUUGAGGGAGGUAGGGGCAUGCGGAACUUCCGGUGGAGCGGUGAAAUGCGUAGAUAUCGGAAGGAACACCGAUGGCGAAAGCAGCGUGCUGGACCUUUUCUGACGCUGAGGCGCGAAAGCCAGGGGAGCAAACGGG